AUGCUUACGGUGUCGCCGAAGAAUGAUAUUCAUGUCGUUUCCGCCUUCCUCGUCUUCGCUUCUGAAUAUUGCUCAGCUGUAAAUUAUGGCUAUCAUGAGCUGUCCAAUUCUGUUUCUGAUUUAAUUCUUCUGUGCAUGGAUGGUACAAACAUGGGACGAUGGGCUGUCAUGGUAAAUAAGGUCUUCAUAUUUGCAAGGCAUUUAGCAUGA